rnacentral:rRNA from 1 species
CCUACGGGAGACAGCAGUGAGGAAUAUUGGUCAAUGGACGAGAGCCUGAACCAGCCAAGUCGCGUGAAGGAUGACGGUCCUAUGGGUUGUAAACCUCUUUUAUAGGGGAGUAAAUCACGGUAUCCAUACCCUCCUGUACGUCCCAUACGAAUCCGGCUCGGCUAACUCCGUGCCAGCAGCCGCGGUAAUACGGAGGGUCCGAGCGUUAUCCGGAUUUAUUGGGUUUAAAGGGUGCGUAGGGGGAUUCUUAAGUCAGUUGUGAAAGUUGGCAGCUUAACCGUAGAAGUGCAGUUGAAACUGGCAGUCUUGAGUGAGGUAGAGGUAGGCGGAAUUCGUGGUGUAGCGGUGAAAUGCGUAGAUAUCAAGAAGAACUCCGAUUGCGAAGGCAGCUCACUGGACUGCAACUGACGCUCAUGCACGAAAGUGUGGGUAGCAAACAGGAUUAGAUACCCUUGUAGUC